UAACGCGUGGGUAACCUGCCUCACACUGGGGGAUAACAGUUAGAAAUAGCUGCUAAUACCGCAUAAGCGCACGGUUCCGCAUGGAACAGUGUGAAAAACUCCGGUGGUGUGAGAUGGACCCGCGUCUGAUUAGCCAGUUGGCGGGGUAACGGCCCACCAAAGCGACGAUCAGUAGCCGGCCUGAGAGGGUGAACGGCCACAUUGGGACUGAGACACGGCCCAAACUCCUACGGGAGGCAGCAGUGGGGAAUAUUGCACAAUGGGGGAAACCCUGAUGCAGCGACGCCGCGUGAGUGAAGAAGUAUUUCGAUAUGUAAAGCUCUAUCAGCAGGGAAGAAAGUGACGGUACCUGAAUAAGAAGCCCCGGCUAACUACGUGCCAGCAGCCGCGGUAAUACGUAGGGGGCAAGCGUUAUCCGGAUUUACUGGGUGUAAAGGGAGCGUAGACGGCAAGGCAAGUCUGAAGUGAAAGCCCGGUGCUUAACGCCGGGACUGCUUUGGAAACUGUUUGGCUGGAGUGCCGGAGAGGUAAGCGGAAUUCCUAGUGUAGCGGUGAAAUGCGUAGAUAUUAGGAAGAACACCAGUGGCGAAGGCGGCUUACUGGACGGUAACUGACGUUGAGGCUCGAAAGCGUGGGGAGCAAACAGGAUUAGAUACCCUGGUAGUCCACGCCGUAAACGAUGAUUGCUAGGUGU
rnacentral:rRNA from 1 species